rnacentral:tRNA from 1 species
AGCUAAUUGGCAGACUAGUGCAUUUGACUUAGGAUCAAAAUAAGGAGGAAAGUCCUUCAUUAGCUA